rnacentral:lncRNA from 1 species
ACCAACAUAUCUCAUUUUUAGUUUUGUCCAAUUAUUUCUAAAUAUUACACUUUAAUCAUCUUUGUUUACAAAUAUCUAUUAUAGGGCUACACUACCACAUUUACAAAUACCUAUUAUGUCUACCGUGUCCAGCUUCACCGCCUUCGACAGUACGUCAUCCAAUAUAAAUAUAGAGCUAGAAUCCGCCGUAUCACCUUAUUAUUUAGCCUUUCGUGAAAACUAACUAAGAACAUGAAGUUUUGCUCCGCCUAAACUUCACGAAACUCCUAAAUAUGUUCACAUCCCC